rnacentral:rRNA from 1 species
UACGGAGGAUGCGAGCGUUAUCCGGAUUUAUUGGGUUUAAAGGGUGCGUAGGCGGGCAUUUAAGCCGGCGGUCAAAUGUCGGGGCUCAACCCCGGCCUGCCGUUGAAACUGGCGGCCUCGAGUGGGCGAGAAGUAUGCGGAAUGCGUGGUGUAGCGGUGAAAUGCAUAGAUAUCACGCAGAACCCCGAUUGCGAAGGCAGCAUACCGGUGCACAACUGACGCUCAGGCACGAAAGCGUGGGUAUCGAACAGG